UACGUAGGUGGCAAGCGUUGUCCGGAAUUAUUGGGCGUAAAGGGCGCGUAGGCGGCCACCGCAAGUCGGUUGUGAAAUCUCCGGGCUUAACCCGGAAAGGUCAAUCGAUACUGCGGGGCUAGAGUGCAGAAGGGGCAACUGGAAUUCUCGGUGUAGCGGUGAAAUGCGUAGAUAUCGAGAGGAACACCUGCGGCGAAGGCGGGUUGCUGGGCUGACACUGACGCUGAGGCACGAAAGCUAGGGGAGCAAACAGG
rnacentral:rRNA from 1 species